rnacentral:rRNA from 1 species
UACAGAGGGUGCAAGCGUUGUUCGGAAUUAUUGGGCGUAAAGGGAGUGUAGGCGGUGAUUUAAGUCUUCUGUGAAAUCUACGGGCUUAGCCUGUAAAGUGCAGAGGAAACUGGAUGACUAGAGUGUCGGAGAGGAUAGGGGAAUACCCAGUGUAGAGGUGAAAUUCGUAGAGAUUGGGUGGAACACCAGUGGCGAAGGCGCCUAUCUGGCUGACAACUGACGCUGAGACUCGAAAGCAUGGGGAGCAAACAGG